UACGUAGGGGGCAAGCGUUGCUCGGAAUCACUGGGCGUAAAGCGCACGUAGGCGGCUUUUUAAGUCAGGGGUGAAAUCCUGGAGCUCAACUCCAGAACUGCCUUUGAUACUGGGAAGCUCGAGUCCGGGAGAGGUGAGUGGAACUCCGAGUGUAGAGGUGAAAUUCGUAGAUAUUCGGAAGAACACCAGUGGCGAAGGCGGCUCACUGGCCCGGUACUGACGCUGAGGUGCGAAAGCGUGGGGAGCAAACAGG
rnacentral:rRNA from 1 species